rnacentral:rRNA from 1 species
GUAGGUGACCUGCGGAGGAUCAUUAA